CCCUUUUUGGUGUAUAACAUUGGGAUGCCUACCUCAACGGGUGCUCUGAGUUUUCAGUGAGAUACGGUCUGUAGAGUAGUGACUGUGAUGUCUGCGACAUAGUAAGCUCACAGUUCAUCAUGGCUAGUGUGACUGCCUCUAACCUUUUCCCAACUAAGCACUGGACCGUUCAGGAAGUUUCUGGGGAGCUUUGGUUUGCUUAUGGCUGCAGCACCUAACUAGAGAUGUAUGCUGGGGUGAGCGUUCAUUUCUGAGCCUCAGUUUGCUCAUCUGUAAAAUAGGAAUAAAAUAGCCUGCUCCUGUUGCCUGCCUUCCAGGGAAGUCAGAGCUUCAAGGAGUAGCUGCAGGUUGCCUUUAUUAACACUCCCAGCUCAGCCCUGCCCAGGGAGAGCUGUGUGUGUGUGUGUUUGUGUGUGUGUGUGUGGUGGGGAGGAGAUUGAGUAACAGUUUUGAUUCAACUGUUACAAAGCCAUUACUUCCAUUUUUCCAUUGGCUUAACCUUCCCCCUCUCAAGCUCCAGUGACCUCCUUUAACAAUUGCUGCCUCUGCUUAUCUUGUUGGGAUGUCAAAGAGAUAAUAUAUAUAAAGCCUCUAGCACAGAGCCUGGCGCAUGGUAGAUGUCUAAUAAAUGCUCUUUCCUUUCCUUCAAAAAAAAUUCCCAGCACUUCCUUGGGCACUGGGAUCACGUUAUUUUUUCUUUGAAAUUUACACUUUCUUUGCGUAUUAUAACAAUAACAGCUAUCACCUUUGCCCAGAAACUGCAUGGCUCCCUCCUCCUUGUUUUUCAGAAGUUGAGGGAGCCGUCCCUUCCUCAGAGCAGUCCUGCCGACCCCCUGAUGAAAAGCAGCACUGCAUGCUCACCCCAGCCCCACUCCAGUCCUAGGACACUCAGCACUGGCUGGGAACUCUCUUUUUCACCGAUGGAUUUUCCCUAUCUGCCUCCAGAGUGCUCAUCCUCCACUGGACAGAGCCAGGCCUGCAGCGGGUUCUCAGGAAAUAACUCUCUGUUGGGCAUCAGAGACUUUAGCAGUCAAUUUGCCUCCUUGAUUUCAUCCUCACAGCAAUGCUGCAGGGCUGUCUUCUUGUUCAGAUAAAGAAGCCGGCUCAGAGAUGUCACCUCUUGUGCCCAGGGCUGCAGAAGGAUGAUGUGGCAGACCUGAAUUCACACAGCGUGCUGUCUGGAUUUGCCGCCCUCUCCCUGCCCUGUAGCCUUUGGUUCCUGGGGAAAGCCUCCUUAUUAAGCCACAGGUCAUCCUGAAAACCAGGAGCACGAAUCAUCUUUAUUCUGAACACCCACCUCUGCAUUUGAAGAGACUUGUGCAGGAGAGUGUGCGGUCAAGAGCUUUCUUCUCCCUAAGAAUCUGGCAGGUCGCUGCCUCCCCAUCUGCUUCAUCACCUACCAGCCUGGGUCUGGCCUGUCCCUUCACUGACCAGUGGAUCUGUGCAUGCCAGGCCUGGCUCUUCUUGCUUUCUCUUUCUCCUCAUUGCUAGAGUUCCAGCCAAAGUCCAUCUCUCCCGCGGGACCUUCCCUUCAUGGCUCAGGUUUGCUCCUCUGACCACUGCUGGCACUUGGCCCUCCAAAGUCUAUCCCCUUCUAUCAUGCUGUCCACACUUCCUCAUCUGCAUCCAUCAGGACUUGCCGAGGGAUCUCAUGAACCUGUGACAAUGGACUGUGAGUCAGAUGUUUUCUGGGUAGAGCUGGCGUAUGACAAUGUUCUUCCUUGGUGGGUUAAGGCAGAAUAUUUGCUACAUAUGGAGGCCUUAGUAUUAUGCUUUCCUUUGAGUCCAUGCCAAGAAGCUGUCCUAUAGAUGAGACCCCUUCUGACGCAUCGCUAAGUCAUCCAUUCUCAGAACCGGAAGGGCAACAGCUUCAUGCACUGAUAAGGGAACUGAAUUCAGCUCACUCACUCGUUCAUUCAUUCGUUAACAAACAUUUCACUGUGUGCCCGGGAGGCAGAAGACUCCCUGAGUCGGUGGAGGUCUGUCAUCCAUGAACUCAGUGGCUGACCCUCUGUUCUCUGGAAGACCCAUGAUUGUGUUCAUCACUGUGGCCCCAGGGCCCAGCACAGGCGGCGGGGGGGGGGGCGGCGCCCGACUGGAUACUCAGCACAAGAACCAUUAAUAAAUGAGGUCAGCAGAGUUAGCUGGGUGGCGUCUGCUUCAGCCAUGGCCUGGGGAGGCCUCCAAGCGAGGUGCCCUUGCCCUCCUGCCUCCUCUGGCUGCUGUGGGUCACAGCAUCUGACAUCUCUCGGAUGUUAAGUGGGACACAAGCUUUGCUGUCUCGGCCUCAUCUUUUGCCUGGGUCUUCAGCUCUACGGCGCACAGGCAACUUGUCAGGCCCUCUCUCUGUGGACAGGUGGUUCUAUCCCAAGAGGACUAGAAUCUGAAGGAUGCCCCUCUCUCUAGAAGGUCAGCACACAUUUGUUUUGCUGAGGGUCAUGGUUUUGUUCCAAUGUCUUUUUAGCUCAGGUUGUAUUUUCUUUUAUGGCAAGACAGUAUAAGAUUUCUUUAAAUAUAAUCCUUGUAAUGAUCCAGGCAUACUUCAUUAAGGCAAAAAAAUAAAAUAAUAAUCCACUGCUUUUCAACUUUCAAAAUAAUGUCUCUACAUGAAGACUUUUGUGAUCUAAGUCAAUUCCCUGAAUUGUUUUCUGAUGCUGUAAAUGUGCUCUUCACGGUGGACCAAAAGUAGAUAAUUAUUUAAUAUUGAAAGACUUUAUGACUGAUGCAAAUUAGAGAUUUAUAUGAUACUGUAUAACAUAUGUGCCCCAAUCCACCCAAUAAUGUCACUGUAAACACUUGCUACAUACAGGAGGCAAGGAUUUCAGAGUCUGUCAUUUCACAUUUUCUUCAUUGGUGCAGUAGAUAAAUAAAAAUAUUAAUAAAUCACAAAUGUGCCUUCAAAAAUCAAUAGCUUAAGGCUUGAUCAGGAGGUAUUAAUUUGUAUCUCAUUGUGAGCUGUCCCUGCUUCUAGUAACUUGGUAAUGUUUGUUAAAUGCC
ensembl:lncRNA